GGUCUAUCUGUGUUACUUGUUUCAUUCUCAUAGAAGAACUGCAGUGCUGGCCACUGAUCGAACACAGUGUAGCAAUGGAAAAAAUCUUCCAUUGCUUAAAAAUGCUGCUUUGUGUGGCCAUCUUGGACUCUUUAAUACAGGGCUUUAGGGUUCAAGAGAUUCCCAACUUGACUCUGAAUGCAUCCGAAUUGCUGAUGAACAACCUCAAUGCCCUCUAAAGCAGGCUCCACUGCGCUGUUUGAGAAACCUUCCAGAAGCGCCACCCUUGAAAUUCAAAUGUAUUGUACUUUGCGGAUGUGAAAAAAACAGUUAACCAAAGAGAGCCAAAGACAGAGAUAGCACAUGUGACUCGAUGACCCAAUCCAAGGAAGACUUUUAGUGUAACAGGUCCAGAAGGAGGCGUUAACAAUCGUAGUGCACAACAGGCGACGGCGCCAUCCGAAGACAUAACUGACUUUUUGACAAUCCGAGUUGCUUC